CUGUGAGCCUGCAGUGCCCAGCCAAGGGGGAACAGGAGAGCAGUGGGUGCCAUGGGAGGAGAGCUACAGGAGCAGAAGGAGCUCACAGAGGAGAGUGCAGUAACGGCACAGCAAUCAGGAAUGAGCUUUGCUGCUGCACUGAGAGCUGUGCCUGGUGGAACCUGAGACAAGAGAGCGUUUCUCAUACACCCCUCUGGCACUUUUGUGGAUGUGCUGGGAUGUGGGGAAGCCUCACAGGGUUGUGGGGCAGUUAAAGGACGCCUAUGGGAGGGCUUCAGGAGAACUUUGGGGCAGCUUUGGAGCAGAGCCACACCUGGGAGCUGCCUUUACCCAACACACUGCUGCUGGUGGAACUGCUGCUGGCCACGGGCUGCGGGCAGUGAUGGGGCUGCUCAGGGGCACUAUGGGAUACACUCAUGGAACCUCUUCCAUAGCCCCCAGCUAUGGACCAACAAACCCCUCGACCUCCAUUUUGCCCCCCAAGAUGAGGGCAAGAUGAGCAUCAGGGGAAUAUACAGGCUGCUGACCUACAGCGGCCCCAGAGCCACCUUAUAGUACCCUCUGAACAAGCCAGGAACAGACCCAUCCCUGCCCACAGCCUCAUAUGGGGUUACGGUGCUCACAGCGCUAUGGGACAUGUGGAGCCUCGGGGUCACGCGGAGUUCUGUGGGGUUCUGGGCUCAUGUGGGGUUACUGAUCAGGGCUCCGACCUUUGGGCUGCAGGGAACUCCAAUCCCCUCUCAGGAAGAAAUCAAUGAAUGCACUCCAACACCACUCCACAUCCCCCAUUCUGACCCCAAACCGCUCCCCACGAGCCCCCAGACCCCCCACGUACCCAUGCCACGUCAUGUCUCUGCACCCACAAGUCCCAUCUGUACCUCACACCUUGCCUUCUCCUGUGAAGCACUCUGCUCCUGUAGGCUGUGGUCCAUAUGCCCUUAUCCACCCCAAAUCCACCCAUGUUCUGAUCCGUGUUCCCCAGUAUCCCCAGUGCCGCCCACUUCACUUUCACCCACAUCUGUGCCCUACACCUUCUCCAGCUCCUCAUUCCUCACCUGCAGAAGCCAUCCAUGCCACAGCACUGUGAGGUUGUACGGGAUCUGGA
rnacentral:lncRNA from 1 species